CACGCCCUGAAUCAAGGCCAGUUGCUUGCUGUAGCAACUGGUUUCAAACUGUGGCUGACAACAAGUCCUUCUAAUGGUCUGUGGAUUUCCCCACAUUCCAAAUGGGGUAAAACAGUUCAGUUGGAAGGAACAGCA
ensembl:snoRNA